GGUUCUUCGACCCCGAUAUUAUACACGAGAAAUCGCUAGCGCUAAAUCCUGGAGACAUAGUCAAUGUUAUAUACAGGGGGUUGCGUAAAAAUAGCAUGUGUCCCUUCAUUCUCUUGCCAUACAACCAUCACUUUCAUUGGAUAUUGCUUUGUAUUCGGAUUGAGGAGCACAAGGUCUUGGUGUACGACUCGUUAAGGCAAGAUAAAUCAAAGUACCAAGAUAUCAUCGAGGUGGUAAAUACUACAUGGGGUCGCUACCUCCACAAAUACAUAGGCUUGCCCAUAGGUGAAAUCGAGCCUCUUCAUUGGGUGACUGAUUUUCCGUGUUGGAGACAGGGCCAAGGAAACAACUUAUGUGGAUACUACGUAUGCGAGUGGAUCAACU